AGUGCUGUACGCUUUCUUUGGGCUUCGGUUGCUGUACAUUGCUUGGAGAUCUGAUCCAAAGGCAGGGCAAAAGAAGGAAAUGGAAGAAGUAGAAGAAAAGCUAGAGUCAGGGCAAGGGAAAACAAUGUACCGUCGCUUCUUUUCGAGAUUUUGCACACCAAUUUUUUUGGAGUCAUUUAUUUUGACAUUUUUGGCUGAAUGGGGAGAUCGUAGUCAGAUUGCAACAAUUGCGUUGGCGACUCACAAGAAUGCUGUUGGGGUCGCUACUGGAGCAAUACUAGGACACACAUUAUGUACAUCACUUGCUGUCGU
rnacentral:misc_RNA from 1 species